rnacentral:lncRNA from 1 species
AGUUUUCAUGCAAAUGUGAAGACAGAAAAGACAGCAGGGAGGUCACAUCAGUGGCUCAGGUCUAAGACCCAGUUCUGGCCCAGGGAGGACGCUGCCCGCGGGCCCCAGUGGAGGGCAGACGCCCAGGUGGUGGCGCGCUGGCACGAGGAGGACAGCUCCCGGUCCUCUCCUCUCUGCCGGGGCUCCCAUCCAGCGCUGAGGGCACACCAGUCAUCCAGAGCUUGGCCACCCGCCGCUGCUCCCUCCCUGCCUCUCAUGCUCUGGGAGGAUGGGAGGGGGUUUAUGGCCACUCCUGUGUCCUGCUUAAAGUGGUGGCGGUGACAGCAUUGGUCAGCAAUGGACUGAGAGAGAAGGAGCGUCUCAGGGUAGGGAGUGAUGGGGGCCUCAUGGUCUUGAGCCCCCUGACCACGUGGGUAGAAAUUCUGGAAAGUUCUCAGCAGGGCCUGCUUCUCUUGGCUUAUGUCCUAGCUGCAAGGGCCCUUGGACAGGCCACUUGCCUCCCCGACGCCUGGUUUCUUCCUCGCUGAAAAUGAGGUCAGAUGUGACCCCAGCAGGAUGGCUCAUCGAUGGAGACUCCAGCAGGCUCUGUGUCCCCACAGCCUCCGAGCUGCUGGGCACCGAGUAACGACACCGUCUGCAGGGAGGGACAGCAAUCCAGCCCACUGGUCAUCGCCUGCCUUCAGCAUCGUGUCCUCGUUCCCUGUUACCAGGAGGGGCAGAGACUGUGUUGCCCCGCCGGAUGCAGCCCUGGGACCAAGUUCUGGCCAAUAAAGACCCGCACCCCCGUUCUGCUGGGAUACCUCCGUUAAGAGCCCCUGGGGCAUUGUGAUCUCUGAAGUCAGUUCACUCUCAGUCCUGAUGUCACUGCCAGUCAGGCCCUCUCACAGCAUGGAGUGCUCAUCACAGCCUACUCGAGGGAAGAAUGGAGACUGGAGUUCCGGAAGCAGCUCCAGCGUAUGCUGGCGGUGUGGCCUCACUUCUCAGACGCGUCCUUUUUCUGCCUAUGAAGCCAUCACAUACCGCCCUGCCCAGGAGACUGGGCAAAUAAACUGUGACACACCCACAUGGCGGACUACAACACAGCAGGACCAGCCACAGGCACGCAGCGACACGAUGCAUCACACAGCUCGUGUUGAGAGGAAGAGGCCAGCCUCAGAGGACAGGCGGUGUGGCUCCAUUAAUCCGAAUACAAAGAUCAAGCAAAUCUUCAGGGACAGCGUGGGAGCUCCUCCGGGAUUUGAGAUGGAAGGGGCACGAGGGAGCCUCUGGGGGGCUGGCAGCUGUCUGGAUGGUGGUGGUUUCGCGGUGCACAUGAACAUAAAAAUGCACCCACCUGUAAACUUGUGGUCCGUGCGCUCACCUCAGGUUCAAAUGGACUUAAGCCGAAGAGACGUGCUCUGAGGAUGCAGAGCGUGGGUCUGCGCGACGGCCCUGCCACGGUAACCCCAGACCAGCCCUCGUUCCCCCUCCUCCGACCUCUUGUCCACCCUGAGACUCCCGGCUCUGCAGUGUCCCCAGGCCGAGCCCUCGUACGCACAGCAGCCACCUGCUCCCAUCCUCCCGAGGCUCCUUCCGG